AAUGUAGGAUUUCCCUUCCUGCUUUUUUGGUAGAUGCGGCGUUGCCACCCAUCCUCGUGCCCGCGCCGCCGCCGCCCAGCCUCGCGCCUGCGCCGCUGCCCAGGCCUACGCUCGCAUCCGCCUCUCGAUCCCUCUAUCUCUGCGAUUCGUGAGAAGGAUGUGAAGCCACCGAUGGGGAAGAUGAAGAUGCCGACGAGCGGCGUCAGGGCGACGCAGUUGCGAGGCCGAAGGCGACGAUCCCCGUUUGCUGCUUGGUGCCGUCGUCUGCCAACGCUCUCUUUCUCUCUUUCUCCCCGUUUGCUACUUCGAUCUGCCGUCGCCGCCUGCUUGGCCCACAUGGUAGUGACCUGCUGCUGCCGGGCUCGUCGAGCUCCCGAGCUCCGCCCGAGCCUCGCCUCACAUUUAGGCUUGAAUUCCAUUUCGGGCCGAGCCGGGCUCGGCUCGCCAUUGGCGAGCUUUGGGCGAGCUCAGGUUGAGCCGGGCUUAGCUCGGCUCGCAUCCAGGCCGAUACAUGGGUAGAUUAGGGUUCCGUGAUAUUGAAUUUUUAAUCUUUCUUUACUUGCGCGGAGCUUGGCGAGUUCUAGUCCAUUCAAGUACUUUAAGUGCAAGAGUUCUUCGUGCGGUCUACUUCCAUGAGGGAUCCAUGAUGUCCGCAGACGAAGCGUGACGCUUUGGUGACUAGACUGGCGGCACUGGAGGCUGGAGUGCUCGGACAAUGGCAUUCACUGGCAAAUUCUACUGUUACACACCCUCCCUCGAGGCAUGACGCAUGAGGAGAUGGGACAACAACGCGGCUCUCGCUUACUCAUGCGGGCGCGUCACUUUUCGUGAUCGACGAGGGAUAUUGGUCCUUCGCUGAUUGACAUUAUUCAUUCAUAAAAAAAAAUAUUGCUCUUUUUAAUUCUUUCAAAUGUAUUUGAUUUUAACUUGAAAUUUUGCACAUUUGUAAAGCAUCACAUCUCCAACAUAUGAUAUAUUUGUAAAAAUUUCUUGAAACUUUUAUACAUGGUUUUUGUGGAGCUUGCA